CGCAAGCCUGACGGAGCAAUACCGCGUGAGGGACAAAGGCCUUCGGGUUGUAAACCUCUUUUAUCAAGGAGGAAAUUUUGACGUGUACUUGAUGAAUAAGCAUCGGCUAACUCCGUGCCAGCAGCCGCGGUAAGACGGAGGAUGCAAGUGUUAUCCGGAAUUAUUGGGCGUAAAGCGUCUGUAGGUGGUUCUUCAAGUCUGCUGUUAAAGACAGUGGCUCAACUACUGAAAGGCAGUAGAUACUGAAGGACUAGAGUGCGGUAGGGGCAGAGGGAAUUCCCGGUGUAGCGGUGGAAUGCGUAGAUUUCGGGAAGAACAUCGGUGGCGAAAGCGCUCUGCUGGGCCGCAACUGACACUCAGGGACGAAAGCUAGGGGAGCG
rnacentral:rRNA from 1 species